GACGAACGCUGGCGGCGUGCUUAACACAUGCAAGUCGAACGGACAGGCCCUGCUUUCGCGGGGUGCUCGAGUGGCGAACGGGUGAGUAACACGUGAGUAACCUGCCCUUGUCUUUGGGAUAACUUCAGGAAACUGGGGCUAAUACCGGAUAGGAGCUCCUGCUGCAUGGUGGGGGUUGGAAAGUUUCGGCGGUUGGGGAUGGACUCGCGGCUUAUCAGCUUGUUGGUGAGGUAGUGGCUUACCAAGGCUUUGACGGGUAGCCGGCCUGAGAGGGUGACCGGCCACAUUGGGACUGAGAUACGGCGCAGACUCCUACGGGAGGCAGCAGUGGAGAAUAUGGCACAAUGGGCGGAAGCCUGAUGCAGCAACGCCGCGUGCGGGAUGACGGCCUUCGGGGUGUAAACCGCUGUCGCCUGUGACGAAGCGUGAGUGACGGUAAUGGGUAAAGAAGCACCGGCUAACUACGUG
rnacentral:rRNA from 1 species